rnacentral:pre_miRNA from 1 species
UGUACCAUGCUGGUAGCCAGUGUGAACUAGGCCUUGCUGGUAACCAGUGUUGUGCCUC